UUGCAGCAUCUUCCGUUGUUUACACGUCCGAGGAAGAACCAUCGGGGCUGGUUUCUUUGGUACGGAGAUCUGUAAAGAUAUGUCAGAACAGAGCAGGAGGUUGUCUGAUCACAUCUCUCUAUGUCCUUCUCUUGUCAACCUCUGUUUUCUUCGGUUUCUUCUCUGAUUCAACCAACUACUUAUUCAUUGCUUCUCUCUCACGCGAGCACCAAAGCUUCCGCAACCAAGCAGCGGUUCUGUUCCACGCGGUGGUGGUUCUGAUUCACGGUACUGUCUUCAUAGUACUGACUGCAAAGUUCAGCAAGUGGAGCGCAGGGUGGAACAUUGGUAUGGUGGUUUCGGUCUUAGAGGAGGAUGAAGAUGGUAAAGGCAUCUAUGGAACCGAUGCUCUGUCUAUCUCAGCUUGGUACGGAAGAGGACAUGAGAAGCGUGACAUAUGGUUGAUGUUGAUGUUCUUGGUCUUUGCUAUUGCGAUGAGGAUGCCAUGUUUAUAGUCCAAAUGCAGUGAGAAUUUGAAUGGAAAUGGAGUGUUGUACACGAGUCUCUAUGUGGGUUUGAUUUGUGUUGGAAAUGUAAUCAAAUGGGUAGCUUAUGUAGUGUGUUACUAUGAUUGUAGAGCUAGAGUUUUGGAGAAGAAGGAUGAUGUUGAGAUUGUAUCAAAAGCUAAGGCUUUUGCUACGUAGAUAAAUUGUUUUGAGAUCAUAAGUACCAAAGCUUGAAACUUUUGAUAAUUUCUCUAUCACCAAUUGCUUUGUCCGACAAUUUUGAUCAGCUCGUAAUUGCUUUCCUUAUUGAAGCUUGUGAUUGCUCGGUUUAAUAAGCCCUUAAGGUCAUUCCAAUUUAAUUUAUUGUUGUUUAUGUAUGUAUGUUCACAUCUCUAAACUCUUAUAAACAUGACAAAUAAGACAGUAAUUAAUUGGCACAAUUAGAAGGAUUAGUUACUGUAGAGUCAUUCCUCUUUUUCUUUGUUUCAGCAUUUGUACAGUAUAUACAAGUUUGAGCCACCUCUCACCAUAAUUAUCAGUAUUGUUAAUUUUGUUUGAAAAACCAAACAACAAGAGCAUAAGCACAAAAAGUAGAUCAAGAUGAGAGUCAAAUCUCUGUUUGAGUCAUAGAUGUGGUAGAGAAUCAUGAACUUAAAGGGUCUUAGUAAGACAGUACGAUCAUGCAAAGGAAUAAAACGAAGCUAAUCUCACUUAUAUUAUACUGUGGGAUCUGGUUCAAUCUCACGAAAAGGGGCCGAAGGCCCAAAAUGGGUUCAUUACGAAAGUUCAAGAAAAGCUGAGAAGGAGAUAAGAGUCUCUGGCUUGACCAGAGGGUUCAUAUUCUUUUGAACAAAGAUCAAGGAGGAGCCUAUUCAUCAUCUCUCUCAUAUGACGGCAUCAUGUUGCAGAACGUACGAGCACAAGAAGGGAAGCACGCGAGAGGUUCACGUGGUCUUGCAGUGCUCCCAAAAGAUAACGGAAGUUAAGCCGUAAUUGAAGGAAGAAUCCCGACAACUCUCUAGAAGUGCUGCGCAAGUUGUCGGGUAGAGUUCCAAGACUCAUCUCACUAAUAAAAGAGAUGAGGACUUCUGUUUCAAGGUUAACGAGUGAGAACAGAGUUUGUACGUUAGUGAGAGAGAGAGAGAAGUUGUAAGAACCCUAAAGGCUCAAGCUUUGAGCAAGUAACUUAGUGGAUUUCCGAGAUAUUCUCGGCGAGACGUAGGGCUUCCGGUUUGGGGCCUGAACUCGUAAAAUCUGGUGUGUUCUUUACAUUUCUUGCUCAAACACAAACAAACGAGAGACGUAGAGAGUUGAGAGAGAGAACUUCUUAUCUAAAGGUUUAUUCAAACGAUUAUUUAAGAAGCUCGAGAAAGUAGUCAACUUUAGAAGGUCUGAUUCUCACAAAUUGGUAUUAGAGCAGAGGUUUUCGACCUUGGAGCAAGUAACGCUUCAGGAGAUGUCGUCAAGCAAGACUGAGGUGGAAAAGUUUGAUGGAGAAGGUGACUACGUUCUCUGGAAGGAGAAACUACUAGCUCACCUUGAUAUACUUGGUCUAAUGGAAGGUCUCGGGGAAGCAGAAGAAACAACGGGGACCGGUGAGAAAGCUACGGAAACGGAGGGUGAAGUAACGCCGGCUCCAACAACAUCUGAACCUGAAGACAAGUCUCUCAAAGAGAAGAGAGGAAAGGCCAGAUCCACCAUCAUACUAAGCGUAGGAAACAAUGUUCUCAGGAAGAUUAUAAAAGAAAAGACAGCUGCAGGCAUGUUGAAGGUUCUAGAUCAGUUGUUUAUGGCAAAGUCUCUUCCAAACCGAAUAUAUCUGAAGCAGAGACUAUAUGGGUACAAGAUGAGUGAGAGUAUGACGAUGGAAGAAAAUGUCAACAACCUCUUCAAAUUGAUCUCAGAUUUGGAGAAUGUCAAAGUGACAGUUCCUGAUGAAGACCAAGCCAUAGUCUUACUUAUGUCACUGCCUAAACAGUUUGAUCAACUCAAGGAGACACUAAAAUACGGUAAGACUACUCUUCAUCUGGAAGAAAUUACUGGAGCCAUCAGGUCAAAGAUUCUGGAGUUAGGAGCAAACGGAAAGCUGUUGAGGAACAACUCAGACGGUUUGUUUGUUCAGAACAGAGGCAGAUUAGAGAAGAGGGAAAAUGGGACUGAGAAAAACAAGCACAAAAGCAGAUCGAAGUCCAAAGGAGGUGGAAAAACAUGUUGGAUUUGUGGAAAGGAGGGACAUUUUAAGAAGCAAUGCUACAUAUGGAAGGAAAGAAACAGAUCAAGGGAUUCUUCAUCAGAAAGAGGAGAAGCCUCGACUGUAAUCUCUCAAACCACAGAUGCAGCUGCGUUGGUAGCCUCAGACGCCCUUCUUGGUUUUGCUGAAGUGUCUCCUGACACAUGGAUACUUGACACAGGCUGUUCCUUCCACAUGACCUGCAGAAAGGAGUGGAUUCUAGACUACAGGGAAACCAGACAUGGGAAAAUCAGAAUGGGGAAUGAUACCUACUCGGAUGUUAAAGGUAUUGGAAACAUCAGGAUUCUCAAUGAUGAUGGAACUACCGUUCUGCUUACUCAAGUCAGAUAUGUACCGCAAAUGUCAAAGAAUCUGUUGUCCAUGGGAACACUUGAAGACAAAGGAUGCUGGUUCAAGUCAAGAGAUGGUGUUUUGACGGUUAUCAAAGAUGACAUAACUGUUUUAACAGGGAAGAAGCAGGACACAUUAUACUUCUUACAAGGAACCACAUUGUCAGGAGAAGCCAAUGUCACAGAGAAGGUGAAUGAUGAAACUCGCUUAUGGCACAGCAGGCUCGGGCACAUCGGUUCAAAGGGGUUGGAGAUGCUAGUCAUAAAGGGGUACUUAGACAAGAAUAGAGUAAAGGAGAUGCAGUUUUGUGAAGAUUGUGUAUAUGGGAAGACUCACAAAGUCAGUUUUGGGUCUGCAAAGCAUGUCACAAAGGACAAACUGGAUUAUGUGCACUCGGAUCUUUGGGGCUCUCCAUCAGUCCCAUUGUCGUUAGGCAAGUGUCAAUAUUUCAUCACCUUCAUUGACGACUUUACCAGGAAGACAUGGAUAUACUUCAUAAAGACUAAAGACAAAGCGUUCAGUAAGUUUAUGGAGUGGAAGACGUUAACAGAAAAUCAACAAGGCAAGAAGCUAAAGACCUUAAGAACCGAUAAUGGUCUUGAGUUCUGUAAACAAGAGUUUGAUACUUUCUGCAAACAGGAAGGAGUUGUCAGACACAGGACAUGUGCCUACACACCUCAACAGAAUGGGGUUGCAGAAAGAAUGAAUAGGACCAUUAUGAACAAGGUCAGAUGCAUGCUUAGUGAAUCAGGUAUGGGGAAACAGUUCUGGGCAGAAGCGGCUUCAACUGCGGUAUUUGUUAUAAACAAAAGUCCAACUUCCUCAAUUGAUUUCUCAAUACCAGAUGAGAAGUGGACUGGUCACCCACCGGACUACAAGAUGUUAAAGAGGUUUGGCUCAGUGACAUACGUACAUUCUGAUCAGGGCAAGCUGAAUCCUAGAGCAAAGAAAGGGGUUUUCUUAGGCUAUCCUGCGGGAGUAAAGGGUUACAGAGUUUGGCUUUUAGAAGAGAGGAAAUGCGUCGUGUCAAGAGAUGUUGUGUUCCAAGAAAGUUUGAUGUUUAAAACCAUUGAGAAAGCGAACACAACAGAAGCAGGACAAAUAAAUGCAGACUAAGAAAGAGUAAACAUCGAGCUGAGGGAAAUACACGAUGGAGGAGGAGCUGGUUCUGAGACAAAUGAAGAAGCCACUUCAAGCAGCUCAAGAACUGAGAAUUAUCAGGAUGACGAAAGCUCAGAAAGUGAGGAAGAAGAUUACAAUCUAGAAGACUACCAGUUGGCCAGAGACAGAUCACGUAGAAAGAUCAAAGUUCCACAUAGAUUCUUGGAAGAAGUAAACUUGGUGGGAUUUGCACUAACCACUACAGAAGACGGUGAAUCUCCAGAGCCAAAGUCUUUUCAAGAAGCGAUGGCAAGUGCUGAAUGGAAGGAAUGGAAGGAUGCUUCGGACGAAGAAAUAAAAUCACUGCACAAAAACAUCACCUGGACACUUGAAGACAAGCCAGCUUCAGGGAGAAUCAUCGGGUGUAAGUGGAUCUUCAAAAGAAAAGCAGGAAUUCCAGGUGUAGAACCUCCAAGAUACAAAGCUAGACAAGUUGCAAAAAGGUACUCUCAAAAGGAAGGAGUUGAUUACCAGGAAAUCUUCUCUCCUGUAGUCAAGCAAGUAUCAAUCAGGUAUCUGCUCUCAGUUGUAGUAAAGUUUGACAUGGAGCUGGAGCAAAUGGAUGUAAAAACAGCUUUCCUCCAUGGAGAACUAGAGGAACACAUUCUUAUGCAGCAACCUGAGGGAUAUGAGAUUGAGGGAGCACCAGAAAAAGUCUGUCUACUCAAGAAAUCACUCUACGGUUUGAAGCAAUCUCCAAGAAAAUGGAAUCAGAGGUUUGAUCGGUUUAUGCGAAGUGCAGGUUAUCUAAGAAGUCAGUAUGAUCAGUGCGUUUAUAUGAAGAAACAAAAUGAUGAGAAUCAUGUCUACUUGCUUCUGUACGUCGAUGACAUGUUAAUCGCAUCAAGUGAUAAAGGAGAAAUUCGGAAACUGAAAGAACUGCUUAACAAGGAGUUUGAGAUGAAAGACUUAGGUCCAGCGAGAAAGAUUUUGGGGAUGGAGAUCAGAAGAGACAGAGACAAAGGGAUCUUAGAGCUGUCUCAAGUAUGUUGAGAAGUUUCUUCAGGCGUACAAGAUGGAAGAGUGCAAGGCUGUCCAAACACCAUUAGGUGCUCAUUUCAAACUAAGAGCAGCUACAGAAGAGGUCCUUAAGCAAGACAGGGAACACAUGAAAAGGAUUCCAUACGCAAACGCCAUUGGAAGCAUCAUGUAUCUAAUGAUAGGAUCAAGGCCAGAUAUUGCAUAUACGGUUGGUGUGGUUUGCAGGUUCAUGUCAAAUCCCACAAAGGAGCACUGGCAAGCGGUGAAAUGGAUAUUAAGGUACAUAAGAGGAUCAAAAGGAGUGUGUCUGCAAUUCAAGAAGGGAGAUAAUGUUGAAAUAAAAGGCUAUUGUGAUUCUGACUACGCAACCGAUCCAGACAGAAGGAGAUCAGUCACAUGAUACGUCUUUACUGCGGGUGGAAACACAAUAAGCUGGAAAUCCAGAUUGCAGCCUGUUGUUGCACUCUCGACAACAGAGGCCGAAUAUAUGGCCCUAAAUGAAGCAGCCAAAGAAGCCAUAUGGCUGAAAGGAUUGGCAGAAGAGAUGGGAUUCAAGCAGAGUCUAGUGGAGAUAAUGUGCGAUUCUCAGAGUGCCAUUUCUUUGGCAAAGAACUCUGUCUUCCACGAAAGAACUAAACAUAUUGAUGUUAAGUUCAAGUUUAUCAGGGAAAAGAUUGAGGAGGGAAGGAUUCAAGUGAAAAAGAUCUCAACGAUCUGGAAUCCAGCAGACAUCCUCACCAAAAUUGUACCAGUGAGCAAGCUUCAAGAUGCCAUGAAGCUUCUCAGGGUCUCAAGUCACUAAGAGACCAAAGAUCCGAGAAUGGAAAUCAAGAAACACUAAGGAAUGUUGAAAUCUUGUGAGUUUAAACCAAGGAGGAGUUUUGUGGGAUCUGGUUCAAUCUCACGAAAAGGGGCCGAAGGCCCAAGAUGGGUUCAUUACGAAAGUCCAAGAAAGGCUGAGAAGGAGAUAAGAGUCUCUGGCUUGACCAGAGGGUUCAUAUUCUUUUGAACAAAGAUCAAGGAGGAGCCUAUUCAUCAUUUCUCUCAUAUGACGGCAUCAUGUUGCAGAACGUACGAGCACAAGAAGGGAAGCACGCGAGAGGUUCACGUGGUCUUGCAGUGCUCCCAAAAGAUAACGGAAGUUAAGCCGUAAUUGAAGGAAGAAUCCCGACAACUCUCUAGAAGUGCUGCGCAAGUUGUCGGGUAGAGUUCCAAGACUCAUCUCACUAAUAAAAGAGAUGAGGACCUCUGUUUCAAGGUUAACGAGUGAGAACAGAGUUUGUACGUUAGUGAGAGAGAGAGAAGUUGUAAGAACCCUAAAGGCUCAAGCUUUGAGCAAGUAACUUAGUGGAUUUCCGAGAUAUUCUCGGCGAGACGUAGGACUUCCGGUUUGAGGCCUGAACUCGUAAAAUCUGGUGUGUUCUUUACAUUUCUUGCUCAAACACAAACAAACGAGAGACGUAGAGAGUUGAGAGAGAGAACUUCUUAUCUAAAGGUUUAUUAAAACGAUUAUUUAAGAAGCUCGAGAAAGUAGUCAACUUUAGAAGGUCUGAUUCUCACAUAUACAAUUAAUGCCUUGGAUUUUUUCAACGUAUCUAUACUAUAAGGCUUAUAUCAACCAAUGUUUUUGCUCCUUUACCAUCUAAUUUAAUUACAAAAUAAAAGUGUAAUAAUUCAACUAGACUUGUGGACCAUAUCAGAACACUACAUACGGUGGCUUAGAUGAAGUCAAGAAGUCAACGUCAAUGAAGGACGGCGAUCUUUAAGUUAAUGGAAGCGUAAUUAAUACUUUUAUGUUCCCUCUACGACAGAGGCAGAACGAUGUUUGAUUUAUUAAGAAAGAGAGCGCCCGAAUCAAUAGAGAUGAAGAUGGACGAGAAGCUAAGUGUCAUCGAACUACUAAAACGAGCUACGAAGCUGCUCUUCGGUAACAUCAACCUCGCUUUCUUCCUCUUGCUCUGCUCUCUUCCACUGUUCUGUUUCUUGAUCUUAUUUGAGCUCUCCUUCCAAACAACCGUCUCUUUCACUUCCCAAUUCCUCUCCAAACAACUCGUUUUUGAGAAAGACUUGUCGGAGAAUGAUCUGAUUCUCCAAACCACCGUCUCUCUCACUUCCCAAUUGGUCUCCCAACAACACAUUUUUUGGGAGGACUUAUCAGAAAAUGAUCUGAUUCCAUGGCUGAUCCAUACAUCUCUGCUCUACUUCUUCUCUUACGCCUUUCUAGACCUCCUUACCACCACCAUGAUCGUUGCAUCAUCUUCGAUUGUUUACACAUCCGAGGAAGAACCAAUGGGGCUGCUUUCUUUAGUACGGAGAUCUGUCAAAAUAUGUCAGAACAGAGUACGAGGUUGUCUGAUCACAUCUCUCUAUGUCCUUCUCUUGUCAACCUCUGUUUUCUUUUUUUUCCUUCUUUUUUCCUUUUUGUUUUUCUUUGGUUUCUUCUCUAAUUGGAACAGCUUAACCAUAGUUCGUCUCUUACACCAACACCAAAGCUUCCUCGACCAAAUACCGGUACUGAUCCACGCAAUGGUGGUUCUGGUUCAAGG
rnacentral:lncRNA from 1 species